rnacentral:rRNA from 1 species
CCUACGGGUGGCAGCAGUGAGGAAUAUUGGUCAAUGGGCGGAAGCCUGAACCAGCCAAGUAGCGUGCGGGAUGAAGGCCCUACGGGUCGUAAACCGCUUUUGCACGGGGAUAACACCCUCCACUUGUGGAGGUCUGCAGGUACCGUGCGAAUAAGGGCCGGCUAAUUCCGUGCCAGCAGCCGCGGUAAUACGGAGGGCCCGAGCGUUAUCCGGAUUUAUUGGGGUUAAAGGGAGCGUAGGCGGGCGUUAAAGUCAGCGGUAAAAUCGCGCGGCUCAACCGCGCCCCGCAGUUGAAACUGGACGCCUUGAGUACACGACAGGCAGGCGGAAUUCGUGGUGUAGCGGUGAAAUGCAUAGAUAUCACGAGGAACCCCGAUUGCGAAGGCAGCCUGCCGGGGUGCGACUGACGCUGAGGCUCGAAAGUGCGGGGAUCAAACAGGAUUAGAUACCCGUGUAGUC